GACGAACGCUGGCGGCAUGCCUAAUACAUGCAAGUCGAACGAACCAUCCUGAAGAUUGAAGCUUGCUUCAUGAUUCAGAUCUUGGUGAGUGGCGGACGGGUGAGUAACACGUGGGUAACCUGCCCAAAAGUGGGGGAUAACAUUUGGAAACAAGUGCUAAUACCGCAUAACAACUACUUUCACAUGAUCGUAGCUUAAAAGAUGGCUCUGCUAUCACUUUUGGAUGGACCCGCGGCGUAUUAGCUAGUUGGUGAGGUAAUAGCUCACCAAGGCAAUGAUACGUAGCCGACCUGAGAGGGUAAUCGGCCACAUUGGGACUGAGACACGGCCCAAACUCCUACGGGAGGCAGCAGUAGGGAAUCUUCCACAAUGGGCGAAAGCCUGAUGGAGCAAUGCCGCGUGAGUGAAGAAGGUUUUCGGAUCGUAAAACUCUGUUGUUGAAGAAGAACAUGCGUGAGAGUAACUGUUCACGUACUGACGGUAUUCAACCAGAAAGCCACGGCUGACUACGUGCCAGCAGCCGCGGUAAUACGUAGGUGGCAAGCGUUGUCCGGAUUUAUUGGGCGUAAAGAGAAUGUAGGCGGUUUAUUAAGUUUGAAGUGAAAGCCCUCGGCUCAACCGAGGAAGUGCUUCGAAAACUGGUAAACUUGAGUGCAGAAGAGGAAAGUGGAACUCCAUGUGUAGCGGUGGAAUGCGUAGAUAUAUGGAAGAACACCAGUGGCGAAGGCGGCUUUCUGGUCUGUAACUGACGCUGAGAUUCGAAAGCAUGGGUAGCAAACAGGAUUAGAUACCCUGGUAGUCCAUGCCGUAAACGAUGAGUGCUAAGUGUUGGAGGGUUUCCGCCCUUCAGUGCUGCAGCUAACGCAUUAAGCACUCCGCCUGGGGAGUACGACCGCAAGGUUGAAACUCAAAGGAAUUGACGGGGGCCCGCACAAGCGGUGGAGCAUGUGGUUUAAUUCGAAGCAACGCGAAGAACCUUACCAGGUCUUGACAUACCAUGAAAAGCUUAGAGAUAGGUCUUUCCCUUCGGGGACAUGGAUACAGGUGGUGCAUGGUUGUCGUCAGCUCGUGUCGUGAGAUGUUGGGUUAAGUCCCGCAACGAGCGCAACCCUUAUUAUCAGUUGCCAGCAUUCAGUUGGGCACUCUGGUGAGACUGCCGGUGACAAACCGGAGGAAGGUGGGGACGACGUCAAAUCAUCAUGCCCCUUAUGACCUGGGCUACACACGUGCUACAAUGGUCGGUACAACGUGUUGCGAGCUCGCGAGGGCAAGCAAAUCACUUAAAACCGAUCUCAGUUCGGAUUGCAGGCUGCAACUCGCCUGCAUGAAGCUGGAAUCGCUAGUAAUCGCGGAUCAGCAUGCCGCGGUGAAUACGUUCCCGGGCCUUGUACACACCGCCCGUCACACCAUGAGAGUUUGUAACACCCAAAGUCGGUGGGGUAACCCUUCGGGGAACUAGCCGCCUAAGGUGGGACAAAUGAUUAGGGUGAAGUCGUAA
rnacentral:rRNA from 1 species